GGAUGAACGCUGGCGGCGUGCCUACUACAUGCAAGUCGAGCGAACGGACGAGAAGCUUGCUUCUCUGAUGUUAGCGGCGGACGGGUAAGUAACACGUGGAUAACCUACCUAUAAGACUGGGAUAACUUCGGGAAACCGGAGCUAAUACCGGAUAAUAUUUUGAACCGCAUGGUUCAAAAGUGAAAGACGGUCUUGCUGUCACUUAUAGAUGGAUCCGCGCUGCAUUAGCUAGUUGGUAAGGUAACGGCUUACCAAGGCAACGAUGCAUAGCCGACCUGAGAGGGUGAUCGGCCACACUGGAACUGAGACACGGUCCAGACUCCUACGGGAGGCAGCAGUAGGGAAUCUUCCGCAAUGGGCGAAAGCCUGACGGAGCAACGCCGCGUGAGUGAUGAAGAUCUUCGGAUCGUAAAACUCUGUUAUUAGGGAAGAACAUAUGUGUAAGUAACUGUGCACAUCUUGACGGUACCUAAUCAGAAAGCCACGGCUAACUACGUG
rnacentral:rRNA from 1 species